rnacentral:rRNA from 1 species
CCUACGGGAGGCAGCAGUGAGGAAUAUUGGUCAAUGGACGAGAGUCUGAACCAGCCAAGUAGCGUGAAGGAUGACUGCCCUAUGGGUUGUAAACUUCUUUUAUAAAGGAAUAAAACGAGGCACGUGUGCCUUUUUGCAUGUACUUUAUGAAUAAGGAUCGGCUAACUCCGUGCCAGCAGCCGCGGUAAUACGGAGGAGCCGAGCGUUAUCCGGAUUUCUUGGGUUUAAAGGGAGCGUAGAUGGGUUGUUAAGUCAGUUGUGAAAGUUUGCGGCUCAACCGUAAAAUUGCAAUGGAUACUGGCAGUCUUGAGUACAGUUGAGGUAGGCGGAAUUCGUGGUGUAGCGGUGAAAUGCUUAGAUAUCACGAAGAACCCCGAUUGCGAAGGCAGCUUACUAAACUGUGACUGACAUUGAUGCUCGAAAGUGUGGGUAUCAAACAGGAUUAGAUACCCGAGUAGUC